rnacentral:rRNA from 1 species
UACGUAGGGGGCAAGCGUUGUCCGGAUUUAUUGGGCGUAAAGAGCGUGUAGGCGGCCAGGUAGGUCUGCUGUGAAAACUCGAGGCUUAACCUCGAGAUGUCGGCGGAAACCAUCUGGCUAGAGUCCGGAAGAGGAGAGCGGAAUUCCUGGUGUAGCGGUGAAAUGCGCAGAUAUCAGGAAGAACACCAACGGCGAAGGCAGCUCGCUGGGACGGAACUGACGCUGAGGCGCGAAAGCGUGGGGAGCGAACAGG